UGGGGAAUAUUGGGCAAUGGGCGCAAGCCUGACCCAGCAACGCCGCGUGAAGGAUGAAGGUUUUCGGAUUGUAAACUUCUGUCGCGAGGGACGAAGAAUGACGGUACCUCGUAAGAAAGCCCCGGCUAACUACGUGCCAGCAGCCGCGGUAAUACGUAGGGGGCGAGCGUUGUCCGGAAUGACUGGGCGUAAAGGGAGUGUAGGCGGCUAUGCAAGUUAGAUGUGAAAUCCCACGGCUCAACCGUGGAACUGCAUCUAAAACUGUAUAGCUGGAGUGCAGGAGAGGUGAGUGGAAUUCCUAGU
rnacentral:rRNA from 1 species